UACGUAGGGGGCGAGCGUUGUCCGAAGUUACUGGGCGUAAAGCGCGCGUAGGCGGUCAUUUAAGUCUGGGGUGAAAGGUUCAACGCUCAACGUGAACAGUGCCUUGGAUACUGGGUGACUUGAGUUCGGGAGGGGGCAGUGGAAUUCCAGGUGUAGCGGUGAAAUGCGUAGAUAUCUGGAGGAACACCGAUGGCGAAGGCAGCUGCCUGGCCCAGAACUGACGCUGAGACGCGAAAGCGUGGGGAGCGAACAGG
rnacentral:rRNA from 1 species